rnacentral:rRNA from 1 species
UACGGGGGGGGCAAGCGUUGUUCGGAAUUACUGGGCGUAAAGGGCUUGUAGGUGGCCAACUAAGUUAGACGUGAAAUCCCUCAGCUUAACUGGGGAACUGCGUCUGAUACUGGAUGGCUUGAGUUUGGGAGAGGGACGCGGAAUUCCAGGUGUAGCGGUGAAAUGCGUAGAUAUCUGGAGGAACACCGGUGGCGAAGGCGGUUCUCUGGGCCUUACCUGACGCUGAGGAGCGAAAGCGUGGGGAGCGAACAGG